rnacentral:precursor_RNA from 10 species
GGAGAUUGGAUAUUGAUGCUGAUGAGCAGACGGCCCUUCACUAGGUAGACUUGAUGAAAUUAACAAGCUGCCUGAUGAAGAGCUGUCCUGCUUAGAUGCAUUUUCAACUGAAAACAUA